AGUAUUGUGACAUUUAUCCGAUCCAUAUUCUUUCCCACAUUCUUGGUCGAUACUGUUUUGACACCCAAAGAAUGGCUAAUCCCAAGAAAGAUACAAGCAAAAAGCUUACUUUUUAAAGCGAAUUUCUGAAUACCAAAAUCUCCCUUUUGUCUAUCAAAGAAGAUUUUCUUGUGUUCUUGAUUGACCCCUUGAACUCCAGAAAGGUUCAUUCUUUUCUAAAGAGUCGAUGGAGAUCGAUAAAGCAAUUAGAGAAUGUGAUGACAGUAGGUUGAAGACAAAGUAUACUAAUGCCGUAUAUGUUAUUAGACGAGCACUCGCUCUGUAUUCCAUACAAGAGGUUGCAUUGAGUUUCAAUGGAGGGAAAGACUCUACGGUUUUGCUUCACCUACUGAGAGCAGGCUAUUUUCUGCAUAAAGCUGAAGAAAGUAGUGCACAAGAUGUCGCUGAUGGUGAAAACGCAUUUCCGAUACGGACAAUAUAUUUUGAGACCCCGACUGCCUUUCCUGAAAUCAACUCAUUCACUUAUGAAACCGCAGCCACUUACAAUUUGCAAAUGGAUAUUCUUCGCCUCGACUUCAAAUCAGGGUUGGAAGCUCUGCUGAAGGCUAAUCCAAUUAGAGCUAUUUUUCUUGGUGUGCGAAUUGGUGAUCCUACUGCGGUAGGUCAGGAGCAAUUCUCACCUAGUUCACCUGGGUGGCCACCUUUCAUGAGGAUAAAUCCAAUUUUGGAUUGGUCAUACAGAGAUGUAUGGGCCUUCCUUUUGGUUUGCAAAGUUCGUUACUGCAGCCUAUAUGAUCAUGGGUAUACUUCAAUUGGGAGCAUCCAUGACACUGUUCCUAAUGCACUAUUGUGCAUCAGGAACAACAACAACAGCAAACAAAAGUUUAGGCCAGCUUAUUUACUUGCUGAUGGAAGGCUGGAAAGAUCUGGAAGGGUAAAGAAGUACUCUUCUCCAGUUUGUGGGAAAUUAUCUUCUGUUAGCAAUGGACUGAAAAUCGAGGAUUUGAACCCCAAUAAUAUGCUUACUGCCUCAAUCAUUGCUGUGGGAGAUGAAAUUUUGUUUGGCACAGUAGAGGACAAGUUGGGCUUUGUGUUGUGUAGAAAGCUCCAUUCUAUUGGUUGGGCAACAUCGAUGCUUGCUGUCACUCGAAAUGAUAUAGACUCCGUGGCCCAGGAAGUUGAGAGGCGGAAGUCCACAAAUGACAUGGUAUUUAUAUAUGGUGGGGUAGGUCCAUUGCAUUCGGAUGUCACCGUAGCUGGAGUUGCAAAAGCUUUUGGUGUUCGCAUGGCUCCUGAUGAAGAAUUUGAAGAACAUUUAAGGCACCUGAUUGGUGAAAAAUGCACCGGCGACAAGAAUGAGAUGGCACAGCUGCCUGAAGGUAUUACAGAAUUGCUGCAUCAUGAACAACUGUCUGUGCCUUUGAUUAAGUGCCGUAAUGUGAUCAUUCUCACUGCAACCAAUGUUGCUGAACUGGACCUACAGUGGCAUUGUCUGACUGAUUCACUGAAAUCUAAUAGUGACUUGGUAUUGAUGGCACCAUUUGUUUCAAAAUGCUUGGCAACAACUCUUUCCGAUAAAUCAAGAUCUCUUCAUUAUCAUAUAUAUCCUUAAGUCGUGUCCAACUAGUUUGAUAUUGAGGCACAGCUGAUUGACAUAUCUCGUAUGUAUCUCUUGAACUCUUUAUCCAGGUGCAUUAAUAACUGGCCUUUUCAAGUUUUGUUUCUUCCAAUCCCCUGGGAUGGUAGAACUUUAGGUUUCUCAUGAUGUAAAAGAUGCUAAAUGUCAUUACAGCUUGAUCCAGGUACUCGUGAGCCAUCAUAUCGUUCUUCCCGUUUGGCCAAAUUGUGCAAAAAAAUAAAAGAAUUAUUGAUAAAUCUGGUACAUGACCCUUAGCACAACCAACUAGGUCUCAAAUUAUGUGAACGAGGCAUUGGUAGACUUUUUGCAGCCAAGAGGUAUCUGAUCAGAGUGAAUUUCAGAUCUCUAUCACCCGAAUAGUCAUCAAAAUCAGAUGGAGUUUCUGAUCCUUACCCCACAUAGUCAACAACAUUCUGUGUAGUAUUUACCUUCUAGAACUGUGUUGCGCAACGUCAUUGACUCUUAUCGUUUUGCUUUUCCUCCUUUGAGAUGAGUCUUUAUAAUGUAUCUUUGUGAAAUAUUCUCCUGUUAAUAUACUUCGUUUAUAGAACUCUGUGCAAAUUACUAAUUACUAGCUCCCAAUGAAUUGCAGGUUGAAGUUGCUCAACCUCUGUCAAAACUUUGCCUUCAAUUUCCUGAUUUAUACAUCGGAGGUUAUCGAGGAUCAAGAAAAGGCCCUCUUAUGAUUAGAUUUGAAGGGAAGGAUUUUUCAAGAAUAGAGGCAGCUUCUCAAUCAUUGUGC